rnacentral:rRNA from 1 species
AUGGCUACAUCUCCAGCAUGCGCGAUAUGCUCGGCGACUGAAGAUACUUGGCAUCAUUCUCUUCUCAACUGCCGGAUGGCUCGGUGUGUCUGGGCUUUGGGAGACGAAGGAAUUCUUGAGCAUGUGAUAUCAAAUCAAUCUGAAGACGCAAGACAGUGGCUCUUUUGGCUGUUUGACACGCUACCACGACAAGAACUAGCCCGUGUGCUAAUCACAAUGUGGUCUAUCUGGUGGGCUAGGAGGAAAGCCAAAGCUAACGCAAGAGCGCUGCCGCGCCAGGUGCGGCGGGGCUGGCUUCCACCGGCAGAAACAGAAGUGAAAAUAAAUGUGGAUGGAGGUUCAUCUCGCAGUGGAAACAAAGGUGCAGCAGCAGCUGUCUGCAGAGACUGCAAUGGAACCUUCCUUGGAGCUUCAGCAGUUGUGUUCGAUGGACUCUCUGAUCCUGCCAGUUUGGAAGCGUGGGCAUGCAAUGAGGCUUUGGCCUUGGCCCAGGACUUGCAUGUUCAGCGACUUCUAAUCGCCUCUGAUUGUGCCGAAGUAAUCACCAAUAUGAGCCGAGACACAGCUGCAGUUUAUGUGCCAAUUAUGCAGGAGAUAGAUAUUCGCAGAAGGAAUUUUGAGCAUGUUGUCUUUCGUCAUGAACCAAUGGAAUGCAUUAGUGAGGCUCAUAGAUUAGCUAAGGCCGCGUCGACUCUUGACGUGGGCGCCAUGUGUGGCUAG